rnacentral:misc_RNA from 1 species
GUGAAUCAUCAAAUUUUUGAACGCAAAUUGCACUCUCUGGUAUUCCGGAGAGUAUGCCUGUUUGAGGGUCAGUUUAAAUAAAAAUCGGUGUGGUUGCUGCCUUUCGUGGUGACGCACCGGAUUUGGGUCGUCUUGCCUUCGGUUAAGUGACCUAAAAUUUUGCAUGAUUUUUUGGAAGUAAUUAAAAUGUUUUAAGGAAGGUUGGGGAUACGGAUUA